rnacentral:lncRNA from 1 species
CUGGCACCAGGUGCGUUAUAUGCCACAAUGGACUUUCAGAAAGAAAAGGAUUCUCGGUGGGCCUGACCUAAUCAGAUAUCCACCUGGUUGACUCCAUUUCUUCUGGCUGGUACUCAAGAGUGUCUUCACCUCAGGGAGGCCUCCC